rnacentral:rRNA from 1 species
ACGGGUGAGUAACACGUAUGCAAUCCACCUGUAACAGGGGGAUAACCCGGAGAAAUCCGGACUAAUACCCCAUAAUAUGGGCGCUCCGCAUGGAGAGUCCAUUAAAGAGAGCAAUCUUGGUUACAGACGAGCAUGCGCUCCAUUAGCCAGUUGGCGGGGUAACGGCCCACCAAGCCUUCGAUGGAUAGGGGUUCUGAGAGGAAGGUCCCCCACAUUGGAACUGAGACACGGUCCAA